rnacentral:rRNA from 1 species
GUAUUAAGGAAUAGCCUUUGGAAACGAAGAGUAAUACUUUAUACGCCCUUCGGGGGAAAGAUUUAUCGGUAUCGGAUUAGCCCGCGUAAGAUUAGAUAGUUGGUGGGGUAAUGGCCUACCAAGUCUACGAUCUUUAGCUGGUUUUAGAGGAUGAUCAGCAACACUGGGACUGAGACACGGCCCAGACUCCUACGGGAGGCAGCAGUGGGGAAUCUUAGACAAUGGGCGCAAGCUUGAUCUAGCCAUGCCGCGUGAGUGAAGAAGGCCUUAGGGUCGUAAAACUCUUUCGCCAGAGAUGAUAAUGACAGUAUCUGGUAAAGAAACCCCGGCUAACUCCGUGCCAGCAGCCGCGGUAAUACGGAGGGGGUUAGCGUUGUUCGGAAUUACUGGGCGUAAAGCGCACGUAGGCGGACUGGAAAGUUGGGGGUGAAAUCCCGGGGCUCAACCUCGGAACUGCCUCCAAAACUAUCAGUCUAGAGUUCGAGAGAGGUGAGUGGAAUUCCAAGUGUAGAGGUGAAAUUCGUAGAUAUUUGGAGGAACACCAGUGGCGAAGGCGGCUCACUGGCUCGAUACUGACGCUGAGGUGCGAAAGUGUGGGGAGCAAACAGGAUUAGAUACCCUGGUAGUCCACACCGUAAACGAUGAAUGCCAGUCGUCGGCAAGUAUACUUGUCGGUGACACACCUAACGGAUUAAGCAUUCCGCCUGGGGAGUACGGUUGCAAGAUUAAAACUCAAAGGAAUUGACGGGGGCCCGCACAAGCGGUGGAGCAUGUGGUUUAAUUCGAAGC